rnacentral:misc_RNA from 1 species
AAGUCGUAACAAGGUUUCCGUAGGUGAACCUGCGGAAGGAUCAUUAAUGAAAUUUAAGGAUGUUCUUUUUAGAAAUCCGACCAAUAUCAUUUCCAACACUGUGAACACACUUAUUUUUACACCCAUUUUAAAAACUCGUAGAGUCUAUAAGAAUGUAUAAAGUCUCUUAAUUGAGCAUAAAAAGUUAAACAAA